UACGGGGGGAGCAAGCGUUGUUCGGAUUUACUGGGCGUAAGGGCGCGUAGGCGGCCACCGCAAGGCGACUGGGAAAUCUCCGGGCUUAACCCGGAAAGGUCAGCCGAUACUGCGGGGCUAGAGUGCAGAAGGGGCAACUGGAAUUCUCGGUGUAGCGGUGAAAUGCGUAGAUAUCGAGAGGAACACCUGCGGCGAAGGCGGGUUGCUGGGCUGACACUGACGCUGAUGCGCGAAAGCUAGGGGAGCGAACGGG
rnacentral:rRNA from 1 species